CACAGAUUCUCCCACAGCCAUCCAGGUUCUCACACCGGAAACUCAAAGUCAAAGGACUCCUGUUCUCGGACUAGAACUUACAACCUUUAAAUCCUAAUGAACCUCUUCUCUCUGACAAAUGAAAAGGAGAUACAUCAUAUUUAUUAUUUUUCUCAAUGGCAAAAGUUAGAUAAGCUUGAAGACCCUCAAAUCCAAGAGUAUGAAGCAAGCGACUGAGAAGUAUCAACCUUCAAAUAAUGAAGCAAGU